rnacentral:rRNA from 1 species
GACGAACGCUGGCGGCGUGCUUAACACAUGCAAGUCGAACGGAAAGGCCUCAGCUUGCUGGGGUACUCGAGUGGCGAACGGGUGAGUAACACGUGGGUUAUCUGCCUUGCACUCUGGGAUAAGCUUGGGAAACUGGGUCUAAUACCGGAUAUGAACUGCCUUUAGUGUGGUGGUUGGAAAGUUUUUUCGGUGCAAGAUGAGCUCGCGGCCUAUCAGCUUGUUGGUGGGGUAAUGGCCUACCAAGGCGUCGACGGGUAGCCGGCCUGAGAGGGUGUACGGCCACAGUGGGACUGAGAUACGGCCCAGACUCCUACGGGAGGCAGCAGUGGGGAAUAUUGCACAAUGGGCGGAAGCCUGAUGCAGCGACGCCGCGUGGGGGAUGACGGCCUUCGGGUUGUAAACUCAUUUCGACAGGGACGAAGCUUUUUGUGACGGUACCUGUAUAAGAAGCACCGGCUAACUACGUG